CGACCUACGGGGCGCAGCAGUGGGGGAUAUUGCACAAUGGGCGAAAGCCUGAUGCAGCGACGCCGCGUGAGGGAAGACGGUCUUCGGAUUGUAAACCUCUGUCUUUGGGGAAGAAAAUGACGGUACCCAAAGAGGAAGCUCCGGCUAACUACGUGCCAGCAGCCGCGGUAAUACGUAGGGAGCAAGCGUUGUCCGGAAUUACUGGGUGUAAAGGGAGCGUAGGCGGGGAUGCAAGUUGGGUGUCAAAACUACCGGCUCAACUGGUAGUCGCACUCAAAACUGCAGCUCUUGAGUGAAGUAGAGGG
rnacentral:rRNA from 1 species